rnacentral:lncRNA from 1 species
GGGAGGGGUCAGGGACAAUGAUGACAGCUGACUCAUCUCUAGGGAUUGACAAAUAAAAAUGGCAAGUAAUAGGAUAUAUUGGAGUAUAUGAGGAAGCCAUUUGGUGUAAACCUAAUUCGACCUGACCUUGUCUUUCCAAAAGGGCCUGACCGGGCGUUGAGCAUGCAUUGUAUAUCUGCUUUAGAUAUUCCCUACGGCAAGAGCAAAGACCCUUGAGAUAAAGGUGCAACUUCCCUCCCCCUCCCAUCGUUGCCAUUUCUUUAAGGAUUAAGCAUCUUUCCUUAGGCUAGGAACUGAUUGCUGCGCUCACCUGUGCUCACCUGUGAGCGCAGCAAUCAGUUCCUAGCCUAAGGAAAGAUGCUUAAUCCUUAAAGAAAUGCCAAUGUUGGGGGGGGGGGGGAGGGAAGUCAGUUACAGGAGGUUACCAGAGAAGCACAAUAAAAUGCAGAUUUAAGUCCUUGCCUUUGGCAUUGAUUAAGAGUUUCUAGAGAGAAGGUCAUCUCCUUUCUUCUUCCUGGUACAGAGAGGGAGGCACCUUUACAGAUAGAGAUUUACCUUACAAAUGUAAAUGUGUCCUAACAAAGGGCAAGCAAGUUCUACUUUUCAGUUGCUUUCCUGUCUGCAAAGGAACCAGCCUCAAAUAAUCAUCAUGCCAAAGAGACAUAUCUUGGGGUGGCCAUUUUCAGGUCCCCACAAUUUCUACUACAGGAAACUGAGGCUCAGGAAGACUGGACAAUUUGCCCAAGUUCACCGGGUAGUAAAUGACGAAGCCCAGAUGCUAAUCCAUGUUGGUUUGUCUCCAAAUCUAAGUCUUUUCCUCCAUAGCAUGCAGCCUCUCCCACAAAAGUGAAAAACUCUGGUGAGAUGCAUAAGGUAAGUUCACGAGGUAAUUGUCUUCAACCACCAUUUGUUAAGUACCUGUUAUGUAUCAGGUACUGUUCUUGAGAAUGGGGUUACACGGUGAACAAAACAGACAAAAAUCUCUGCUCUCACGGACCUGACAUUUUAGUGAUACCAUUGAGUGAGGGCAGAGGUCCAUCCUGGAGAAAAGCUCCUUUGGCUAGGGCCCCAGGUGGUAUGAAACAUGGAAAGAACUUGGACUUUGAUGUCUGUCACAGACGUUGGCUCCUUUUAGCAGUAUACAUCUUCCCCCUGUGAAUUGCAGAAAUGGCACCAAUUCUUCAUCUUUUCCUAUAUCUAUACCCUUUGCCACAAAAUUUUGCAGUGCUCUCUCACUCUGAUACUGGCCUUAGUGGUGUGACUUGCUUUGGCCAAUAGGACAUUAGCAAAUGUGAUGCAAGCUGGGGCUGAGAAAGCACUUGUCUGAUAGAGUUUUCCCACUCUUGUGCCUCUGCCAUUACCUGUGAGAACAUGUAAGAACUAGCCAACUGGAAGAGCCAAGCCAGAGGCCCCAGCCUUCCCAGCCAAAGUCAGACUAGAUUAGCCACUAGCCAGCCAACCUCCAGCCAUGCGAACAAGUCAACCGAGACCAGCAGAGCUGCCUAGCUAACCACCAGAUGUACGAGCUUAUUGUUACGUGCUUCUAG